ensembl:misc_RNA Metazoa_SRP Metazoan signal recognition particle RNA
ACUGGGCAUGGUGGUGUGUACUUGUAGUCCCAGCUACUUGGUAGGCUGAGGCAGGAGGGUCACUUGAGUCCAGGAGUUCUGGGUUGUGGUGUGCUAUGCUGAUUGGGUGUCUGCACUCAGUUCGGCAUCAAUAUGUUGAUCUCCCAUGAGUUGGGGACCACCAGGUUCCCUGAGGAGGGGUGAACUGACCCAGGUGGGAAAUGGAGCAGGUCAAAACUGUGCUGAUCAGUAGUGAGGUUGCACCUGUGAAUAGCCACUGUACUUUAGUUUGGGCAACACAGCGAGACCCUAUCUCUA